UACGGAGAGUUUGAUCCUGGCUCAGGACGAACGCUGGCGGCGUGCUUAACACAUGCAAGUCGAACGAUGAACCUGGAGCUUGCUCUAGGGAAUUAGUGGCGAACGGGUGAGUAACACGUGAGUAACCUGCCCUUGACUCUGGGAUAACCUCCGGAAACGGAAGCUAAUACCGGAUACGACGUACGGAGGCAUCUCCUGUACGUGGAAAGAACUUCGGUCAAGGAUGGACUCGCGGCCUAUCAGGUAGUUGGUGAGGUAACGGCCCACCAAGCCUACGACGGGUAGCCGGCCUGAGAGGGUGACCGGCCACACUGGGACUGAGACACGGCCCAGACUCCUACGGGAGGCAGCAGUGGGGAAUAUUGCACAAUGGGCGCAAGCCUGAUGCAGCAACGCCGCGUGAGGGAUGACGGCCUUCGGGUUGUAAACCUCUUUUAGUAGGGAAGAAGCGAAAGUGACGGUACCUGCAGAAAAAGCACCGGCUAACUACGUGCCAGCAGCCGCGGUAAUACGUAGGGUGCGAGCGUUGUCCGGAAU
rnacentral:rRNA from 1 species